rnacentral:tRNA from 1 species
GGCCCCGUAGCUCAACUGGACAGAGCAGGCGACUUCUAAUCGCCAGGUUGAGGGUUCGAGUCCUUCCGGGGUCGCCA